AGUUCAAAACAGCAAAAGUAAAUGACUUGUAGAGCUUGGAUUAGCAUCAGAUGCAAUGACAAGUAACGGCACACGAGCAAACAGGAAAUUGAAUGGCAAAGCCAGAGGGGCAUCAGUGAACGUGCCAGGCUGCAAAGACUUCCUCAGAGGGAGGCACGAAAAGAAAGCAAAAUGGGAGCUUGUCCACGAAUAG
rnacentral:lncRNA from 1 species